GAGGGUUUAACUCAGUGGUAGAGUGCAUGAUUAGCAUGUAUGAGGUCCUGGGUUCAAUCCCCAGUACCUCCA
rfam:Camelus ferus unplaced genomic scaffold scaffold36, whole genome shotgun sequence.